GAUGAACGCUGGCGGCGUGCCUAAUACAUGCAAGUCGAGCGAACAGACGAGGAGCUUGCUCCUCUGACGUUAGCGGCGGACGGGUGAGUAACACGUGGAUAACCUACCUAUAAGACUGGGAUAACUUCGGGAAACCGGAGCUAAUACCGGAUAAUAUAUUGAACCGCAUGGUUCAAUAGUGAAAGACGGUUUUGCUGUCACUUAUAGAUGGAUCCGCGCCGCAUUAGCUAGUUGGUAAGGUAACGGCUUACCAAGGCAACGAUGCGUAGCCGAACUGAGAGGGUGAUCGGCCACACUGGAACUGAGACACGGUCCAGACUCCUACGGGAGGCAGCAGUAGGGAAUCUUACGCAAUGGGCGAAAGCCUGACGGAGCAACGCCGCGUGAGUGAUGAAGGUCUUCGGAUCGUAAAACUCUGUUAUUAGGGAAGAACAAAUGUGUAAGUAACUAUGCACGUCUUGACGGUACCUAAUCAGAAAGCCACGGCUAACUACGUG
rnacentral:rRNA from 1 species